UUUAUACAAUACAUGAGUUUGUGUAUAAACUAUUUUGCAAAAUGGAAUAAGAUCAAUCUUUGCUAAAGUCGAAGGUUAUCCGUUUACAAUAUCUAGAAGCAAGUACGGAUCCACUUUAGAGCUAUUGAGGGCAACUGCACCUAGGGGUGGACAACAUGGAACCAACCGAGAAAAACCGUCCGACCCGUAUGAAUAUUUUAGCCUUCGGUCGGGUUUAUUCGGUUCUGCGGUUUGUGCGGGUGAAAACAACGGAUUUAAAGGGGUAAGUGUGGUCGGGUUCGGAUAGAUUUAUUGAACCCGUCGGACCCCGAACCCGACCGAUAGUUUUAUUAUUCUAUUGGUUUGUUACUCAGUUUUAUCCAAAUAACACAGCCCAAUUUUCAGGCCCAGAUCAAUUUGAUAAAACCACUUUGUAACCCUAAUCUCAUUCAUUCAUUCAUUCUUACGGAAAUCAAUCCGCCGCCGCUCUCCCUCAUUCCUUCAUCUUCUUUGUUGCUACCAUGAACAACAAUGAACAAUCACUCCGUUCCUCUCUUUGUUUAUUAUCACGUCUCUUCCCUUCAAAAUACAAGGUUCAUUUUGAAAUCUGACCCAACCCCAAUCGAUCUGUAAACAAUAUCGUCUCAAUACUUGAAGAAAGACGACUUACUAGUGUUUGUUUGAAAGCCACCCCUGUCAUCUUCUUCCUCUUAAGGAGUAUCAAUGGAGUUUCAAAGGCAAUUGGAGAAAAAAGUGUUUGAGAUGGAUCUUGUUGUGUAUGGAUAAUUAUAGCAUAAUAAAGGAGGAAAUUGCUUUGUCUUGUGUCUGCUUCAAGGCUUCAAGUCUAUUUAUCAACAUAGAAAUUGAAGGAAAAAAAUUGAAAAGAUUAUAAUCAAGAAAUAGAAGACAAAUUUGCCUCAA